ACGAUCAUAAAUGAAGACAAUGAACGUUUUGCAUUUACUUUUCCAUUUCACACAGCUAUGAAAGGACUAAAUCAUAAAAAAAACGAAACAUUUAUUUUUAUAUUAUUGUCCUUCAAACGUGAAAUGAAGAUACAUUAAUUUUGGAUUUUUAUUUAGAAAAAUACUAUGAAAGAUUCUUCAAAGAAAUUUGUAUCUAUAGUUCCACACAUUACGGCACUAUAUUAAAUGCUUGAAGGUGACCCACACAGUGAGCAAAGGAGUUUAGAUCACUUUACAUUUAAUAAACCUAUAAUUAAGUGACCAUAUAAUAAUUACUGUCCAGCAGGUAACUUUUAACCCAUUUUGCAGAGGCUGCUUCUUUGGAUGGCAAUCUCUACUUUCAUUACCUAGCAUUUAUGAAAAUUUAGUAUACGCUUUAUAUGUUACAAUUAUACAAUGAUCCUAAAAUAAUGCUGCGUGCUAUUAAAGAAUUUGCAAAUCUUUAGAACUGUACCUUUGACUGAUGUCAAG